GCCACGGUGGUCUAGCGGUUAGAACGCUGGCCUUGUAAUCAUGAGGUCUCGGGUUCGAUUCCCGGCGGUGCCC
rnacentral:tRNA from 1 species